GAAUCAAGUAACCUAGGUAUAAAAUCCCUAAGUUCACCGAUCUCUCCUCACUGUUCCCCAAAAUGUCGAUUUCUUCUCCCUGUUCAGCUUCGCUGACUUCGACGGAGCUUCUCACUAAGCCCCGAGUUCCGACCAAGCAUCUUCCCGCGUCGACGAGCCCGCAGAGGACACUGCGAUCGUACGCAGAGACCUUCAAAUACCUCCCUACCGGCACAACACCACUGGGGCGAGGGAUUCCUACGAUGACAAGAAGAAGAGAAAGGCAAGUACUCUCUAUUAUGUGGGUAUGAGAUCAGUGAGGUGAGAGAGGCAUUCCCCAGGGUACUAUAGAGGACAUGCACAUGGAGUAGACGAGGAGGCGGGAUAACACCUCGACACACUGUCCGAGAAAUUUAGGAGUAUUGUGAUGACUCUUGUUUUCUGUGGAGUCUGUUCUUUACUUGUAUGAGGAGUAGUGUUGGACUCUUUGAAUCGUGAAGCUAUGAUUUGUGUUGGUUAUGAUGGUUCAUGAUUGAUUAGAUUUUCUAAUAUGGUUCCUUAACGACGAUGUAUGGGAGUUUUAAUAUUUGAUUGGAAGUUGGUCUUCAAGUUAACUGAUAAUGGUUGCAAACUUUUAUUA